UAGGUAAUUUCCGGACUGGUAAUAAUGUCGGAGCACGGAUGCCAUCACCAAAUAGACUUCCUAGUAAUACAGAAAAUCGUUCUGGGUCGUAUCCCUCAGGCAUAUCCCCACUGCUAUACGAUGCCCUCUGUUCUCUGUGCCUCAGGCUACCACGACAAAGAUAUCAGCCCUGUGUCCGAAGAUACUGUACGAUAUGAUACCGUUAAAACAAUUAUAAAUAAUACAUGAAGCUA